UAAUGCUGGGAUGUGAUGGGGAGCGAAAUUUAGUAGCGAAGUAGCUGAUUUCACACUGUCAAGAAAAGUCUCUAUCGAGGUUAAAGGUACCCGUACCGCAAACCGACACAGGUGGGUGAGGAGAGUAUCCUAAGGCCAGCGAGAGAACUGUUGUUAAGGAACUCGGCAAAAUGACCCCGUAACUUAGGGAUAAGGGGUGCCACCAUCAGGUGGCCGCAGAGAAUAGGCCCAAGCGACUGUUUACCAAAAACAUAGGGUUCUGCUAAGUCGCAAGACGAUGUAUAGGAGCUGACGCCUGCCCGGUGCUGGAAGGUUAAGGUGAUCGGUUAGAGCAAUCGAAGCAGUGAACUUAAGCCCCAGUAAACGGCGGCCGUAACUAUAACGGUCCUAAGGGAGCGAAAUUCCUUGUCGGGUAAGUUCCGACCCGCACGAAAGGCGUAACGAUUUGGGCA
rnacentral:rRNA from 1 species